rnacentral:tRNA from 1 species
UUAAUUGAAGCCAAGGGAGAGAGGCAUCUUAAUGUUAAUAAGAAAAGUGAUAUAUUUAUCCAAUUAAA